CAUAGAAAAUUGGCAGCACAGUUCCUUUUGCUUCCAUGCAUUCAAGAAUUCUCACUAGUUCAUCCAAGCACCAUGUUGACGAUGCAUAAUUUUGUGAGAUAACAAUGAGAGCAAAUCUCAAUUCUUCAAUUGCAGCAAAAAGUGCUGGAGAAAUAGCUUCCCCUUUUUGAAGUUCAGGAUCGUCCCUGAAAGUUAU